CGCCUAACCCUUGCGGUGCAGUUCCGUAAGACAUGGCGAAAACUCCAUCCCUAGUAAAAAGCUCCUCGUCCGGGCACUAGGGAUGGUCAUAACUCGAAAGGGUUAUGGGUGGCCGAAAGGCCGCC
rnacentral:sRNA from 12 species